rnacentral:rRNA from 1 species
AUUCAAGCGUUAAGAAGGGCAUCUGGUGAAUGCCUUGGCAAUCAGAGGCGAUGAAGGACGUGGAAGACUGCGAAAAGUCACGGUAAGCUGUCAACAGGCUUUGACCCGUGAAUUUCCGAAUGGGGAAACCCACUCAUUUUAGAGUAUCCUAACGUGAAUACAUAGCGUUAGGAGGCAAACCCGGGGAAGUGAAACAUCUCAGUACCCGGAGGAAAGGAAAUCAACCGAGACUUCCCUAGUAGUGGCGAGCGAACGGGAACUAGCCCAAUGGUCAUUUUGUAAGAACUGGAAGUGUCUGGAAAGUCACACCAAAGUAGGUGAUAGUCCUGUACAGGUAGAAAGCAAAAUGAUCUUCGAGUAAGACGGAACACGUGAAAUUCUGUCUGAACAUGGGGGGACCAUCCUCCAAGGCUAAGUACUCCUGAUUGACCGAUAGUGAACAAGUACCGUGAGGGAAAGGUGAAAAGAACCCCGUUGAGGGGAGUGAAACAGACCUGAAACCAGAUGCUUACAAGCAGUCGGAGGGACUUCGUGUCCUGACGGCGUACCUUUUGUAUAAUGGGUCCGCGAGUUAGUCUUUCAUGCAAGCUUAAGCCGUUAGGUGUAGGCGUAGGGAAACCGAGUCUGAAUAGGGCGCAAGUAUGAGGGAUUAGACCCGAAACCCGGUGAUCUAGAUAUGGACAGGUUGAAGGUGCGGUAACACGUACUGGAGGACCGAACCCACUUAUGUUGAAAAAUGAGGGGAUGAUCUGUGUCUAGGGGUGAAAGGCCAAUCAAACCGGGUAAUAGCUGGUUCUCCGCGAAAUCUAUUUAGGUAGAGCGUCAUGUGAAUACCAUCGGGGGUAGAGCACUGGAUGGGCUAGGGGGGAGCGAUCCUUACCAAACCUAACCAAACUCCGAAUACCGAUGAGUAAUGCAUGGCAGACAGCCCUAGGGUGAUAAGGUCCUAGGGCGAGAGGGAAAGAGCCCAGACCUACAGCUAAGGUCCCCAAAUUAUGGCUAAGUGGAAAAGGAAGUAGGACGGCCAAGACAACCAGGAGGUUGGCUUAGAAGCAGCCACCCUUUAAAGAAAGCGUAAUAGCUCACUGGUCUAAACAAGCUGUCCCGCGCCGAAGAUGUAUCGGGGCUAAAGCCAUAUACCGAAGCUUAGGGUGCACUUUAUGUGCACGGUAGCGGAGCAUUCCGUAAGCCUGCGAAGGAUAACCGCGAGGUUAUCUGGAGGUAUCGGAAGUGAGAAUGCGGACAUGAGUAACGAGAUGAGUGUGAGAAACACUCACGCCGAAAGCCUAAGGGUUCCUGCGUAAAGCUAAUCUGCGCAGGGUUAGCCGGCCCCUAAGACGAGGACGAAAGUCGUAGUCGAUGGGAACACUGUUAAUAUUCAGUGGCCAGAUGGUAGUGACGGAUUUGAAACGUAGUUCAUCCUUAUCGGAUUGGAUGGGCUGCCGGAGAGUUCCAGGAAAUAGCUCCAUCAUUAGACCGUACCCGAAACCGACACAGGUAGGCUGGUAGAGAAUACCAAGGCGCUUGAGAGAACCGUCCUGAAGGAACUAGGCAAAUUGCAUCCGUAACUUCGGGAGAAGGAUGCCCCGCGCGUAGGCAACUAUGUUCGGGGGGCACAACCCAGGGGGUGGCGACUGUUUAUCAAAAACACAGGGCUCUGCGAAGUCGUAAGACGACGUAUAGGGUCUGACGCCUGCCCGGUGCCGGAAGGUUAAGAGGAGGAGUGCAAGCUCUGAAUUGAAGCCCCGGUAAACGGCGGCCGUAACUAUAACGGUCCUAAGGUAGCGAAAUUCCUUGUCGGGUAAGUUCCGACCUGCACGAAUGGCGUAACGAUCGCCCCACUGUCUCCAGGGCGGACUCAGUGAAAUUGAAUUCCCCGUGAAGAUGCGGGGUACCCGCGGUCAGACGGAAAGACCCUAUGAACCUUUACUACAACUUCAGAGUGGCAAUAGAAUUGUCAUGUGCAGGAUAGGUGGGAGACUUUGAAGCAUUGGCGCCAGCUGGUGUGGAGUCAUCCUUGAAAUACCACCCUUGACCUUUCUGUUGUCUAACCACGGCCCGUUAUCCGGGUCUGGGACCCUCUGUGGUGGGUAGUUUGACUGGGGCGGUCGCCUCCCAAAGUGUAACGGAGGCGCGCGAUGGUAUGCUCAGGACGGUCGGAAAUCGUCCAUUGAGUGCAAUAGCAAAAGCAUGCCUGACAGUGAGACUGACAAGUCAAGCUGAGACGAAAGUCGGUUAUAGUGAUCCGGUGGUUCCGCAUGGAAGGGCCAUCGCUCAACGGAUAAAAGGUACUCUAGGGAUAACAGGCUGAUAGCGCCCAAGCGUCCACAGCGACGGCGCUGUUUGGCACCUCGAUGUCGGCUCAUCUCAUCCUGGGGCUGGAGCAGGUCCCAAGGGUAUGGCUGUUCGCCAUUUAAAGAGGUACGUGAGCUGGGUUCAGAACGUCGUGAGACAGUUCGGUCCCUAUCUGCCGUGGGUGUUGGAAUCUUGAGAAGAGUUGACCUUAGUACGAGAGGACCGGGUUGAACAUACCUCUGGUGUAUCUAUUGUGGCGCCAGCCGCAUGAGUAGAGUAGCUAUGUAUGGACGGGAUAACCGCUGAAAGCAUCUAAGCGGGAAGCCUCCUUCAAGACCAGGAUUCCCUAUCAGAGCCGUGGAAGACCACCACGUUGAUAGGCUGGAUGUGGAAGCGCAGUAAUGCGUGAAGCUAACCAGUACUAAUUGCUCGAUCGGCUUGAAUUU